CAGGACGAACGCUGGCGGCGUGCUUAACACAUGCAAGUCGAGCGAUGAAGUCCUUCGGGAAUGGAUUAGCGGCGGACGGGUGAGUAACACGUGGGUAACCUGCCUCAUAGAGGGGAAUAGCCUUUCGAAAGGAAGAUUAAUACCGCAUAAGAUUGUAGUAUCGCAUGAUACAGCAAUUAAAGGAGUAAUCCGCUAUGAGAUGGACCCGCGUCGCAUUAGCUAGUUGGUGAGGUAACGGCUCACCAAGGCGACGAUGCGUAGCCGACCUGAGAGGGUGAUCGGCCACAUUGGGACUGAGACACGGCCCAGACUCCUACGGGAGGCAGCAGUGGGGAAUAUUGCACAAUGGGGGAAACCCUGAUGCAGCCAACGCCGCGUGAGUGAUGACGGUCUUCGGGUUGUAAAACUCUGUCUUCAGGGACGAUAAUGACGGUACCUGAGGAGGAAGCCACGGCUAACUACGUGCCAGCAGCAGC
rnacentral:rRNA from 1 species